rnacentral:rRNA from 1 species
AUGGAGUUACACAUACAAGUCUCACAAAAUGGAGUAUUACACAUAUGGAGUAAUUUCACAUGGGAUGCACUCCGCACAAGACUAAUCUCAAGGAACUACACAUACUCCACAUCUGAACAACCUCAUGUCAAGCAUCUGAACAAGCCUCAUGUCAAGCAUCCAAACAAGCCUCAUGUCAAGCAUCCGAACAAGCCUCAUCUCAAGCAUCAGAACAAGCCUCAUGUUAAGCAUCUGAACAAGCCUCAUCUCAAGCAUCUGAACAAGCCUCAUGUCAAGCAUCUGAACAAGCCUCAUGUCAAGCAUCGGAACAAGCCUCGUCUCAAGCACCUAAACAAGCCUCAUCUCAAGCAGCACAAGCCUCAUCACUGA